rnacentral:rRNA from 1 species
UCCAAGGGGUCAAGGGGGAGGCAGCUGGAGCUCCUGGGGAGGAGUGAGAGAGGCGUCCGUCUCGCCUCGUCGCUCGGGCUUCGUUACCUAUCUAUGGUUUCCCACCUCUUCGGAGCCUUACUCUGUGGGUAAGCACUCUUACUCUAGUCCUAGUGACGCGAGCCCUCCUACUCCUUGAUAUAGCCGAUGCCCUACAGCAACGAACUCCUUUUACCCGUACUACUCUAGUGAUAGUUUCGGUACCCUGCUCGGUAUUUAUUCUGCCAGUACCAACGACUUAACUAGUUCUCUUCCCAACGACCAGAGGUAGUCUUAUGCAGAUAACUUAGACAACCGUAGUGACUGUGUACCCUCGGAGACCUUCUUCCGGAACAGGGCGAUCUCUGUUGAGCAGUACAUAGUUACUAAUGGGAUUGUAACAGGUUCCUUGGUAACCUAUGCAGUAGAGGUCCCAUGGUCGGUGGGUAUGGUCGACUUCUCCACUUUGGACGAAAACUAAUACUUGUACUUCCUAGGAAAGGGAGACGAGCACCCUCUCCAGCACCACCUGGACCACCGCCGGCUUCCCCGUCCCCGUCUCGAUAAUCGUUACCUGGGGGAGGAAUACUGACCCCACUUCUUACCCUCCUCCUACCUCUGAUAAUGAUGUUACCAUCUCCGUCUCCCUCUCCGGCCGAUUCUCCUUCCCCUUCUCGGGCACCGAUGAUACCUCCACCAGCUGCACCACCGAUACCGAUACUAAUGCCAAUACCACCGUCCCCGCCGAUGAUACUUCUCGUCCCACCUAUGAAACUACCGCUUGGUCUACUCAUAGUGGGGGGAGGUCCGGCACCCGCACCGUCCCCUUCUUCUUACCUCGUCUCACUUAUGAUGUUACCGCUUGGUCUACUCAUAGCGGGAGGAGGUCCGGCACCCGCACCGUCCCCUUCUACCUACCUCGUCUUACUUAUGAAGCUGCUUGGAAUACUUAUGGGGGGAGGUCCGGCACCAGCACCGUACCCUUCUUCCCCUCCGGGUACCGCGCGGGCUCCGGCGCCCGCACCAGGCUACGAUCUAACUUGACCCCGUACGUUUGGCGUUCGGUACUUCGAUCGUGACGACGCGAAUUAAUGGAUUAUUACCAAAAACGAAUGCCACAACGAGGUACAUACCCCGAGAGACUGCACUUAGAAAUACCGGAGACUACGACAUGCUGAACGGCGGCCCGUUUAAAAUACACCGAAUGGACACCAAACAAAUCGAUCCGGUCGGUCGUUUCAUGGAGUUGUGGAUCAUCUUGCACACUUUAUGGACAUACAAAGUCGGAGGGCACAUCAAUAGAGCCCAAAAUCGAGAGACACCUACACUCACGGCUCAUCCGAACAAACGAAGCUUCAGACGGCACAGAGAAAGCGAACAACCUCGAUCUGUCUCUUUAAUCUCUUCCCUCUAUUUCCACUCUCAAACCAUUACGCCCCCUAGUGUUGUAUUAGAGUAGAGCACUUGGACAAAGUGACAACCUGACAAACCAAUCGGCGAGAGGCAUACUUAAUACAGGACUAAAGAAUGUUUCAAAUCCUAGUCCUUCAUGUCACAUCGUUUAUCCAUGUCUAAAGUCGGUAGCGUUUGAUUCGUGUUUUGUCUGCGUACAACGCCAACUUUGACUUCGCUUUCGGGCAGCUUGUGUUUCAUAUGACACUGUAGUAUAGUCUAAGAGGAAGUCAUAAAAAAUGGUUCACGUAGUUUUAGAUCUUAUAUGGACACGCAUAUAUAUGUGCCGGACGUCUUCUCUUGCUCCUCUGAGUCGUCAGUUUCAGAAGGAGGGUCCUCUUUAUCAGUUGGCGUUAGGCGGCUUGCAAGAACUGAGGUGCCCGCUGAGAAGGAGAAGGAGAGUGAGAGUGCUUAGUUAUCGGAAUCGGGUGUAGAAGGAGGGGUGAAGGCAAUGGGCCGGGACUUCGGUACCUGCCGCACAUGCUUCGCGACCAGCACUGGCACCGACGGAAGCAUCCGUAGAGGCAUGGGACGGAGGAGCAGCGGAAGGAGACGGCGGUGGCGUUCUUGGCGGAGGAGCUCGGCCUGGUGGCGACGAGCAGCAGCAGCAGGGAGGGUUAGAGGCGGGGCCAGCCCUAUAGCAGCCUCGAGAGGAGCAGCACCAGAGACAUGCCUAGCCGGCAGCUGAGGAGGGAGUUCUUCGAGAGCGAGCUGCUGGAGCGGUCCCGGUGGCCGCUUAAGAGGGGCCUGUUGUAGUAGCCGCUGCCGUCGAAGCCCAAGCACAUGGCGCGGCACGAGGGCCUGCCGCCUGGCCGCCACCGGCAGUUCGCGGAGAGGCGCCUGGUGCGGCGGCCGCGGCCGUUGGCGCUCAAGGCGCGGCUCGACCUCCACGAGCCGUCGGAGUCGGUGGCGUUGGAACGCGCGGACGAGCCGAUGACGCGGCGGCCCGCGCUGGCGGAGGAGCAGAUGCUCGAGGAGCUCGCUCCGUCGGAGCUGCGGACCGACGUGCCGCUGCGGCGGAGCCGGCCACCGAGCGAGGGCACCGGGCGCGCGGAGGCGCAGUGGGCGCCGCGUCGCCGGCGCGAGCGGAAGGACGUGGUGCUGGCGGUGGGCGGGCACGAGGUGGCGCUGCAGUUCAGGUCGUUGCACGAUGAGCUGCUCCCCAAGCUCCGGUUCGAGCGGCUAAAGCCGGUACGCUCCCAACAGUGGCCGCCAGGACGGCGCAGCGUCGAGUCGUGCGUCCGGCGGCCGUGUCGCCCCAUGUACCGUGGUCUCUAUGCACUUCCGCACCCUCGUUCGCACUUUCGUCUACACAUGUCAAAACCGCACGAUUACUACCUCUGUCACUGGCCAGCUGCUGGUUCGACCGGUUACUUCUUGUAAUCUCCAUUCCUCCAUCUUGAUAACUUUACCCGUUCCCUUUUCCAACUCCGGCUGUAUAGGAGCCUCUAACGCCUAGUAGCUUACCCAAAUCUUCCCCUUUUCCUUUGUUUCCUCCACUUUUGAAAGAAUCUGUAGCGUGUUUCAACGUGUCUCCUCAGAGGAUUCAUAGCUGGCUGUUACUUUCUCCACCAUCUCUCCGAGUUAUCCGACACUUUCAGAGUUUAGUUUACAAGAGAGAUUACUUCUAACUUACCGUUGUUCUUUUCGAGUCACCUAACUGAUACGGUACUAGUCAAACUCAAGGGGAUGAUAUUACAUAUCCAGAAGACGAUCAUGAAUCAAACAAAAUGUUUAACACGCAUGAAACACAUACUCCUCGACUACUGUACACACUUUUUGUGUAUACAUAAAGCUCAACAUGUUCCUUUUACCCGCUGGUUAUACAGAAUGUGGGAAGAUCCGUGGGGGAGUGGGGGCGACAUGUGUGUGGUGAUGAGUUAAGAUCGUGGAGGUCAUCCGUAGAAAGAAGUAAUGGUUAGUUAAGUUCAUUUACUAUUGAACUUCCAGAUCUCGUAGUAGGUCUAAAGGUAUAGGUACGAGAUCGAUAGUUCGUUAUCUCCGCCUUGUUCAGUGUUCGAUCCAUUUUGACAACUUUGAUACAUAGUUGAUACAUCGAGCAUGUGUAUUAUACUUUC